CAAGUCGAGGGGCAGCGCGGGAUAGCAAUAUUCUGGCGGCGACCGGCGGAAGGGUGCGUAACGCGUGAGCGACAUGCCCGUUGCCCGGGGACAACCGGUGGAAACGCCGACUAAUCCCCGAUGGGAUACGAUGCUGCAUGGCAUUGUAUUGAAAGUUACGGCGGCGACGGAUUGGCUCGCGUCCGAUUAGCUGGUUGGCGGGGUAACGGCCCACCAAGGCUGCGAUCGGUGGGGGUUCUGAGAGGAAGGCCCCCCACAAUGGGACUGAGACACGGCCCAUACUCCUACGGGAGGCAGCAGUGAGGAAUAUUGGUCAAUGGGCGGAAGCCUGAACCAGCCAUGCCGCGUGCGGGAAGGAGGCCCUAUGGGCUGUGAACCGCUUUUGCCUGGGGGCAAUAAGGGCGUCGCGCACGCCCGAUGAGAGUACCAGGCGAAUAAGCAUCGGCUAACUCCGUGCCAGCAGCCGCGGUAAUACGGGGGAUGCGAGCGUUAUCCGGAUUCAUUGGGUUUAAAGGGUGCGUAGGCUGUGCGUCAAGUCGGGGGUGAAAUUCCGGUG
rnacentral:rRNA from 1 species